CAGGGAAGCGCAGGACUCGACCUCAGUUCCACCACCAGACUCGUAUUGACCCCUCGAAUGGGAACUCAGGUGGUGGAUACAGAUUUUAAAGGCCCCAGUAAGCAGAAUUCAGAAGGAUCACAGAAAUUGAAAGCAUGUGCAAAGAUAAAGAUUUGGGGUAGUGGUAGUGGACAAGGUAAUAAUGGUAAAAUGUUUUUGUGUAUGUGUUCUUUUAGAGUUAUGUUAAAAUCUAGAGAAGCAAAGUCGAUUCUCAUAGAUGCUUCUAGUCUUUGGACCCUGACUAGAGACAGUUUACACCCUAGACUAGAGAGAGAAUGGGGUUGAGAAAAACAGUCCUCCCGAACUCUCCACAGAUGCUUUGGCAAAAGAAGGAAAUGAGCUUAAACUUUUUGGAGCUCUCCUGGGAACAGAAGGAGGUGGGAGACGUCUUGCCUCCUUGCUGGCUCCUAUUGGAGAAGUGCUUAUUUCUGGUUCUGGGUUCUUUAGGUAGGAUGUUUGGGUCCUUUUGGUGGAACACCAUCUAGUUCUUUUCCUCUGUGUCUAUUGUCUGUCCUUGGUGCACCAAGCUGUCCAUGUAUGUCAAUUUAUGUCUGGGUUUUGCUUCUCCUUGCUUGAAUGUUUUGUGUUUCAUGUUUAAAAGAAAAGGUUAAAA
rnacentral:lncRNA from 1 species